rnacentral:rRNA from 1 species
CCUACGGGAGGCAGCAGUGAGGAAUAUUGGUCAAUGGACGAGAGUCUGAACCAGCCAAGUAGCGUGAAGGAUGACUGCCCUAUGGGUUGUAAACUUCUUUUAUAUGGGAAUAAAAUGUUCCACGUGUGCGCUUUUGUAUGUACCUUAUGAAUAAGGAUCGGCUAACUCCGUGCCAGCAGCCGCGGUAAUACGGAGGGUCCGAGCGUUAUCCGGAUUUAUUGGGUUUAAAGGGUGCGUCGGUGGAUUGUUAAGUCAGUCGUGAAUGUUUGCGGCUCAACCGUGAAAUUGCAGUUGAAACUGGCAGGCUGGAGUGCAGUAGAGGUAGGCGGAAUUCGUGGUGUAGCGGUGAAAUGCUUAGAUAUCACGAAGAACUCCGAUUGCGAAGGCAGCUCACUGGACUGCAACUGACGCUGAGGCUCGAAAGUGUGGGUAUCAAACAGGAUUAGAUACCCGUGUAGUC